UUUGAGCCGAGGGGCAAUGUAGAAACGGCAGGUUGGCGCCCAACCGGACACAGCAACAUGAAGCCCGCCUAGCGUGAAGGACUAGCUGAAGCGCUAAGAAAUACUGAGCCUGUGCAACAGGCAGCUAGACAGUAGCUAA
rnacentral:ncRNA from 1 species